rnacentral:rRNA from 1 species
GACGAACGCUGGCGGCGUGCUUAACACAUGCAAGUCGAACGGAAAGGCCCUGCUUUUGUGGGUUGCUCGAGUGGCGAACGGGUGAGUAACACGUGAGUAACCUGCCCUUGACUUUGGGAUAACUUCAGGAAACUGGGGCUAAUACCGGAUAGGAUCUCCUGCUGCAUGGUGGGGGUUGGAAAGUUUCGGCGGUUGGGGAUGGACUCGCGGCUUAUCAGCUUGUUGGUGGGGUAGUGGCUUACCAAGGCUUUGACGGGUAGCCGGCCUGAGAGGGUGACCGGGCACAUUGGGACUGAGAUACGGCCCAGACUCCUACGGGAGGCAGAAGGGGGGAAUAUUGCACAAUGGGCGGAAGCCUGAUGCAGCAACGCCGCGUGCGGGAUGACGGCCUUCGGGUUGUAAACAGAUUUCGACUGUGACGAAGAGUGAGUGACGGUAAUGGGUAAAGAAGCACCGGCUAACUACGUG